AUUGAACGCUGGCGGCAGGCCUAACACAUGCAAGUCGAGCGCGAAAGUUCUUCGGAAUGAGUAAAGCGGCGGACGGGUGAGUAAUACAUGGGAAUCUGCCUGGUAGUGGGGGACAACGUUUCGAAAGGAACGCUAAUACCGCAUACGCCCUACGGGGGAAAGGGGGGGAUCUUCAGACCUCUCGCUAUCAGAUGAGCCCA
rnacentral:rRNA from 1 species